GGCUCGGUGGCGGAUGGUCUGUGUCUGCAGUUUCAUUCGGAGUCAUGAAUGCGGCAGAACUCGCUCGUUCGAUUCGGGCCUGAGCCA